GUGAGGAAUAUUGGUCAAUGGGCGAGAGCCUGAACCAGCCAAGUCGCGUGAAGGAAGAAGGAUCUAUGGUUCGUAAACUUCUUUUGCAGGGGAAUAAAGUGCAGGACGUGUUCUGUUUUGUAUGUACCCUGAGAAUAAGGAUCGGCUAACUCCGUGCCAGCAGCCGCGGUAAUACGGAGGAUCCGAGCGUUAUCCGGAUUUAUUGGGUUUAAAGGGUGCGUAGGUGGUUUGAUACGUCAGCGGUGAAAGUUUGCAGCUUAACUGUAAAAAUGCCGUUGAAACUGUCGGACUUGAGUGUAAAUGAGGUAGGCGGAAUGCGUGGUGUAGCGGUGAAAUGCAUAGAUAUCACGCAGAACUCCGAUUGCGAAGGCAGCUUACUAAGCUACAACUGACACUGAAGCACGAAAGCGUGGGGAUCAAACAGGAUUAGAUACCCGGGUAGUCC
rnacentral:rRNA from 1 species